rnacentral:rRNA from 1 species
AGAAACAUUUUCUUGGCAGGCGUGGCCCAGGCAAGUCGGCCGGGGCCUUUGCGCGUAAUAGCGGAAGAAUGUUUUACAAAUGAGACUAAGCCCUCAGGUUUGGUAUAGGAGAUAGCACGGGGCGUUAAGGCCUUGUGCUAUCAGAUGGGCCUAGAUUGGAUUAGCUAGUUGGUGGGGUAAUGGGUCUCCAAGGUGGCGAGGUGUAAGCUGUCUGAGAGGAUAAUCAGUCACACUGGAAAGAGACACGGUCCAGCCUCCGGCGGGAGGCACCAGCCGGGAUUAUUGGACAAUGGAGCAAAGCGAUGAUCCACCCAUGCGGCGAGAGUGAAGAACAUCCCUCUGGAUCGUAAAAAGCUCUAUAAGUUGAUCUAAGCGGAACGA